GGCUGGAGGGUCCAGGUUGUCUUCACUCAGAUGUGUAGCAGUUGUUCCUGGAUGUCGGCUGAGACUCCUCAGUUUUCCAGAUGAUUUCUCAUUUUCUGUUGUCAAAGUUCUUUCACAUAACUCUCCACUUCUAAUGAACUGGUGCGAUAGAGACAAUAAGAAUAUAUUUACAGAAGGGACCAUAAGAACAUCCUGAGAAGAACUCAAGAUAGAAAAAGAGAAUCAAGACCAUUACAUAUAAGGUUAGUUCAAAGAUGUCUAAUUUAAAAUAAUAUACAGCUAAAAGUCUGCAUACAAGGGAAUAUUGUGUGUGUGUAUGUGUGUGUGUGUGUUAGUCACUCAGUUGUGUCCCACUCUUUGAAACCCCAUGGACUGCAGCAUACCAGGCUUCCUUAUCCUUCACUAUCG
rnacentral:lncRNA from 1 species